rnacentral:rRNA from 1 species
CAGCCGCCGCGGUAAUACCGGCGGCCCGAGUGGCGGUCACUUUUUUUGGGCUUAAAGCGUCCGUAGCCGGGGUGGGAAGUCCUCCGGGAAAUCUGGCCGCUUAAAGGUCAGAAUGCCGGAGGAUACUCCCAGCCUAGGGAGCGGGAGAGGCCGAGGGGAUUCCCGGAGGAGGGGUGAAAUCCUAUAAUCCCGGGAGGACCACCUGUGGCGAAGGCGCUCGGCUGGAACGCGUCCGACGGUGAGGGACGAAGGCCAGGGGAGCAAACCGGAUUAGAUACCCGGGUAGUCCUGGCUGUAAACGAUGCGGACUUUGUGUCGGACAAGCUAUGAGCUUGUCCGGUGCCGGAGGGAAACCGUUAAGUCCGCCGCCUGGGGAGUACGGCCGCAAGGCUGAAACUUAAAGGAAUUGGCGGG